UGGGGAAUUUUGCACAAUGGGGGAAACCCUGAUGCAGCGACGCCGCGUGAUUUAGAAGGCCUUCGGGUUGUAAAAAUCUUUUCUAUGGGAAGAAAAUGACAGUACCAUAGGAAUAAGGACCGGCUAAUUACGUGCCAGCAGCCGCGGUAAUACGUAAGGUCCGAGCGUUGUCCGGAAUCAUUGGGCGUAAAGGGUACGUAGGCGGGUAAGCAAGUUAGAAGUGAAAUCCUAUAGCUCAACUAUAGUAAGCUUUUAAAACUGCUCAUCUUGAGGUAUGGAAGGGAAAGUGGAAUUCCUAGUGUAGCGGUGAAAUGCGCAGAUAUUAGGAGGAAUACCGGUGGCGAAGGCGACUUUCUGGCCAUAACCUGACGAUGAAGUACGAAAGCGUGGGUAGCAAACAGG
rnacentral:rRNA from 1 species